UACGGAAGGCAGCAGUGGGGAAUAUUGCACAAUGGGCGCAAGCCUGAUGCAGCCAUGCCGCGUGUAUGAAAAAGGCCUUCGGGUUGUAAAGUACUUUCAGUCGUGAGGAAGGUGUUAAGGUUAAUAACCUUAGCAAUUGACGUUAGCGACAGAAGAAGCACCGGCUAACUCCGUGCCAGCAGCCGCGGUAAUACGGAGGGUGCGAGCGUUAAUCGGAAUUACUGGGCGUAAAGGGCACGCAGGCGGUUAAUUAAGUUGGAUGUGAAAUCCCCGGGCUUAACCUGGGAAUGGCAUUCAAGACUGGUUAGCUAGAGUCUUGUAGAGGGGGUAGAAUUCCAUGUGUAGCGGUGAAAUGCGUAGAGAUGUGGAGGAAUACCGGUGGCGAAGGCGGCCCCUGGCAAAGACUGACGCUCA
rnacentral:rRNA from 1 species